rnacentral:rRNA from 1 species
UGGGGAAUAUUGGGCAAUGGAGGAAACUCUGACCCAGCGACGCCGCGUGCGGGAUGAAGGCCUUCGGGUUGUAAACCGCUUUCAGCAAGGAAGAAGCGAAAGUGACGGUACUUGCAGAAGAAGCACCGGCUAACUAUGUGCCAGCAGCCGCGGUAAUACAUAGGGUGCAAGCGUUGUCCGGAAUUAUUGGGCGUAAAGAGCGCGUAGGCGGCCUACCAAGUCAGGCGUGAAAGCCCCGGGCUUAACCUGGGAAUUGCGCUUGAGACUGGUAAGCUUGAGUUCGGGAGAGGUGAGUGGAAUUCCCAGUGUAGAGGUGAAAUUCGUAGAUAUCAGGAGGAACACCGGUGGCGAAGGCGACUUCCUGGACCAAUACUGACGCUGAGGCGCGAAGGCGUGGGGAGCAAACAGG